UUCCGUUGAAUGACGUGCUUGCACUGAUUUUAACAAUGAAGCGAGUGGCGAACUGGUGAGUAACACGUGGAAAGUCUGCCCGAAAGCAGAGGGUAACACUUGGAAGCAGGUACUAUUACCGUAUAACAACAAAGUCCGCAUGGAUUUUGUUUGAAAGGUGGCUUCGGCUAUGACGGCUGGAUAAUCCCGCGGCGUAUUAGUUAGUUGGUGAGGUAAAGGCCCACCAAGACGAUGAUACGUAGCCGACCUGAGAGGGUAAUCGGCACAGUUGGAACUAAGGCACGCCCCAAACUCCUACGGGAGGCAGCAGUAGGGAAUCUUCCACAAUGGACGGAAGUCUGAUGGAGCAAUGCCGCGUGAGUGAAGAAGGGUUUCGGCUCGUAAAACUCUGUUGUUAAAGGAGAGCACCUUUGAGAGUAACUGUUCAAGGGUUGACGGGAUUUAACCAGAAAGCCACGGGCAUCUACGUGCCAGCCACCGCGGUAAUACGUAGGUGGCAAAGGUUGUCCGAAUUUAUUGGGCGUAAAGCGAGGCGCACGGUUUUUUAAGUCUGAUGUGAGGGCCUUCGGCUGAUCCGAGAAACUGCAUCCGAAACGGGGAGACUUGGGUGCCGAAGAAGACGGUGUAACCCCAUGUGUAGCGGUGUGAAUGCGUAGAUGUAUGGAAAAACAGCAGUGGCGAGGGC
rnacentral:rRNA from 2 species